rnacentral:rRNA from 1 species
UCCACGCCGUAAACGAUGUCUACUAGCCGUUGGGGAACUUGAUUCCUUAGUGGCGCAGCUAACGCACUAAGUAGACCGCCUGGGGAGUACGGCCGCAAGGUUAAAACUCAAAUGAAUUGACGGGGGCCCGCACAAGCGGUGGAGCAUGUGGUUUAAUUCGAUGCAACGCGAAGAACCUUACCAGGUCUUGACAUCCUGAGAAUCCUGUAGAGAUACGGGAGUGCCUUCGGGAA